rnacentral:rRNA from 1 species
CGGAUUGGAGCUGCAACCCGACUCCAUGAAGCUGGAUUCGCUAGUAAUCGCGCAUCAGCCAUGGCGCGGUGAAUACGUUCCCGGGCCUUGUACACACCGCCCGUCAAGCCAUGGGAGCCGGGAGUGCCUGAAGUGCGUGACCGCAAGGAGCGCCCUAAGGCAAGACCGGUGACUGGGGCUAAGUCGUAACAAGGUAAC